rnacentral:tRNA from 1 species
GCCUUCGUGGUGUAGUGGUCAGCAUGUUCUACCCGUAUUUGAGAAGUCCAUGGUUCGAGUCCCGGCGAGGGCA